GAAAACUUCAUGGGGAUACUCUUCCCAUUGGUGCUUCAACUAAAGGCAUUUUGUUUGAUGUUGGGAAUUCUCUGUUACCUGAAUGUUUCUGCAGAGGGUGACAUAAAGCGUUGCUUAAAAUGUGAUUUACCAAGCGAGAAGGCUACGUGUUUUAGGAUGCAGCACUUCCACAGCAGCAUUUUGAGGCCCUCCUUGACUGGCUGGCUAGCUGGCUGACCCUUUUUGUAUUCCAUGUGCAGAUUGAGCUGAAAACACUUUUCUUACGGAUUCUCGGAUUUUUCAACAGGAAGCAAGAGGAGCGAGUGCAACAGGUACGGAAAAAACUGGAGGAGGCACUGAUGGCAGACAUCUUGUCCCGGACUACAGAUGCAGCAGACUUGGAUGAAGUUGAAAUGGACAAUGGAGAAGAUGCAUAAGAAUAAAAUAAUCAGGUACUUUUUUAAAAAAAGAGAAAGACUCCCAGAGAAAAAUUCCUGGAAGUUGGAAGCGCUUUUAUGUUUUCCGUUGGUCUUUUGUGAUAGAAGAAGAGGACCUCUGCACAUUUAUAUAGCUUUCUAAUAGCAUUAAAAACCAAUGCCUUUUUUUUUUGGCUCUUAUUAUUAUUAUUGUUAUUUUUGAUGUACAUAUCUUGUUAAAAAAAGAAAGAAAAGAGGAAAAAAAGGAAAAAAAAAGAAAAGAAAACCUACCCCUUUAUUUUGUGUCUUAAGACUUCAAAAGUCUGAUUUUUAUUUUAUUUGUUUGGUGAGAUCCAACAAUUCCUUAAGACUGAAGCCGAGCUUUCGAGGCCAAGUUGCAAUUCUGGGGCAACAACAUGGCAAGCACUAAAUAAUUAGCAUUUCCCAUGCAUUCUCCUUUUUUAUGUGUACGUUUUUGCAAGGAUAGAUCAGGAAAACAGAUUGUUUCCCAGUUGUUGUUUUUUUAAAAAAAAGAAAAGAAAUUGUGACAGGAUUUCUUGUACAUAGAUUAUAUAGAAGAUUUUUAUACUGGAACUGAAUGGAAAAAUCUGUAAAUUGACUUGUCAUCUUUCUCUAAAGAGAAAUAAAUACUUUUAUUCAGAGCAAUUACAAUUUUUAGAGUAAUGUGCUAUAAUUUAAGGCAAGGCUGUUAUCGCUAUUUCUGAGCAUUAGGCAGAGAGAAUAUUGUUCAGUGAGAGUAGUGAAUCCAGAAUGCCAGGCUGCUACAGCCUCAGUUAAGUUUAUUGGGAAUUUAUUUGCACUCUGACAUGAUUAUGGAAGCACAUCAACAAGCGUGCAAUUUCCCCACAUCGGAUUCGGAGCCUUGGUCCUCCUUUUGUAAAAUGGGGAAAUUGUGACCUACCUCACAGGGUUGUUGUGAGGAUGAGCUUAAUAAAGACCGGAAAGUACUUUUUCAAUGAAAUGGUUUACCCAAAUAAAUAGGAAUGGAUACACAAAGGAUGAA